rnacentral:rRNA from 1 species
AGUCGAGAAUUUUUCACAAUGGGGGCAACCCUGAUGGAGCGACGCCGCGUGGAGGAUGAAGGCCUUCGGGUUGUAAACUCCUGUCAUGCGGGAACAAGCAAGUGAUAGUACCGCAAGAGGAAGAGACGGCUAACUCUGUGCCAGCAGCCGCGGUAAUACAGAGGUCUCAAGCGUUGUUCGGAUUCAUUGGGCGUAAAGGGUGCGUAGGUGGUGGCGCAAGUCUGGUGUGAAAUCUCGGAGCUCAACUCCGAAAUUGCACCGGAUACUGCGUGACUCGAGGACUGUAGAGGAGAUCGGAAUUCACGGUGUAGCAGUGAAAUGCGUAGAUAUCGUGAGGAAGACCAGUUGCGAAGGCGGAUCUCUGGGCAGUUCCUGACACUGAGGCACGAAGGCCAGGGGAGCAAA